rnacentral:rRNA from 1 species
GACGAACGCUGGCGGCGUGCUUAACACAUGCAAGUCGAACGGAAAGGCCCUGCUUUUGUGGGGUGCUCGAGUGGCGAACGGGUGAGUAACACGUGAGUAACCUGCCCUUGACUUUGGGAUAACUUCAGGAAACUGGGGCUAAUACCGGAUAGGAGCUCCUGCUGCAUGGUGGGGGUUGGAAAGUUUCGGCGGUUGGGGAUGGACUCGCGGCUUAUCAGCUUGUUGGUGGGGUAGUGGCUUACCAAGGCAUUGACGGGUAGGCGGCCUGAGAGGGUGACCGGCCUCAUUGGGCCUGAGAUACGGCCCAGACUCCAACGGGGGGCAGCGGUGGAGAAUAUGGCACAGUGGGCGGAAGCCUGAUGCGACAACGCCGCGUGCGGGAUGACGGCCUUCGGGUUGUAAACCGCUUUCGCCUGUGACGAAGCGUGAGUGACGGUAAUGGGUAAAGAAGCACCGGCUAACUACGUG